ACAUCUCCUAUUGCCCUCGAAGGUAGCUGUCCAAGUUCAUACUGUGAUGCUGAAUCAUCUGCUGCAUCCUGAGAAACUGGCAUUACUACCUCCUCCUCACUCUGCUCACAAGAACUUGACUGUUUCCUCAAUUGGUGCGUUGGAGUUCUCCUGUGACUGCCCUUGCUUUGGUUUAGGUCUUGGCAUUGGAUCGACUUCAAGAGGUCAUACCUGAAAGGAGAGAUAGAAAUAUACAGAGAGAAAAUCACAGACGUGUUGCUUCUUCAGUACUUUUAUCCUGAAUAAAGCGCGUCUCGGGACGUUCACUCUAUCUGCGCAUGACGUCAGGCACGCAGGUACG